rnacentral:misc_RNA from 1 species
AAAGAUAGAAAGAAACACUAACUAAAAAUAUAAUGGCCACGAAUCUUUUCAAAAAAGAUAGGAAGAACAAUUAACUAAAAUUGAUAAUUGUAAAGAGUUUUUCAAGGGAAAAAAAGGUUAAGUCAGAACAUAAUAAUUAUGAAUCCAAUAAGCAGUUUGUAUCUUAAGAGCUCCGGUACUUACUCCCUUAGACAUCGUCUGACCAGAUAAAAGAUGUGAAAAAACGGAGACUGCUCGAAGUUGAGGCUAAAGAUCUAGGAAUUCCCUAAAAGGCGGUCCUUUAUACAAUUUUUAUAUGAACGCCUAUCGCCUAUUGUGAGGAAAUAAAAAGAACGAAUUCCAGAGUACUAUAAACGUGUGUGAAAUCAAACAAAUAAACGUGUGAAAACUAAUUAUGCAUGGAAAAUUAAUAAUAAUUAAAUAAAUCAACUAAAUAAUAAAACCACCGGAAUUAUCUGUCACCUACGAAAUAAGAAGCUUCCAUGUUAAAAUGAAGCAAUGACAAAGGAAAAAAA